CGGACGCGCUGUGAGAGCGGCUCCCGGGGUCCGCUCCCGGCCCAGCCAGAGCCGUGCUGUCACACCGACCCCUCAGGAGUGUGUUCGAAGGCUGGGAUUGCCUUGGGGACUCACGAAGAUCACAGGGGUGAUGCCAAGGGUCAGUCAGGAAACAGUUAUCAUGAUCAGGCUGGAGGGAAAACACCUGGGGUUGUUAGUUGCCCCUCAUAGGAUUACUCUGUUUUUACAACUGGAAUCCCAGGAGUGCUCUUGGAAGUCCGAGGAAGACCUGAAAUCUGCUUCCCCAUUUCUGAGGAGUGAGCAGCUACACACUUAAGAGCCCAGGACCCGGGAAAGGAUCCAGGAAGUUCAUAAUUUCCACGUGUUUCUGGCCUCAAGGAAGACAGAAAACAUUGUGUCAUUCCACGCUCCCUUCCAAGACUUGGUGAUUGCCAGCUGCUCUGUCCAUCUUUCCCCCAGCUCUGUGUCCUCCCUGCAGUUCAGAGCACCAGUCCAGAAUAAGAAAGACGUGGAAGACAGGAUGAGAAAUAAUAAAAUUAACAUUUGGGGGCCUCGCCUCUGUGAAACAUUCCUCUGGGAACCUUCUGUUACCUAUUACUUUGCAACUCUUACACCCUCUUUUAUCUCGAGCUAUUAUUUUUCUUCUGGUCAUCAUUUUUAUAAGUAGCAAAAAAUUUAGCUUUCUCCUUACCUUCAAGAGUAACAUGAUAGAAGUAGGGUUGAGAAGAGGAAGAAAAAAAAAUUCCUUUACCCACCAGGAAACCCUUGGGAGCACAAACUAAAAGUAAGGAGUAGAAAGUGUGAUCUUCCUCCUAAUAAAGCUCUUUAUAAUAAAA